UCAAUAUGCCUUUCUGGUUCAUCUCCAUCCCAAGGGGUAAGCUGACACAAGAGCAAGAUGAGGUAGAAUUGAGGGAACAUUUAAAAAGGCGUUCCCACUGUCAGAUACUUAAACCACUGUACCACAGCAGGAACUCCACACAAAAAAGGAGUUUGUUGUUUGUUUGUUUUAAGGUCAGUUAACCUGCAUUAAAACAAUAACUCAGAGUUCCCUGGUAGCCUAGAGGUUAAGGAUGCAGUGCUGUCCAUGUCCUUCUCCAUGCUGGGAACUCACCAACAACCCCCCUCAAACAACAGUAACUUACUAGUAAACAGUGAAUACUUUCCCCCAUCAUUAGCACAGUGAUUAAGAAUUAGGAUUAAGAGCAGACAUGGGUUGAAUUCCAGCAACAUUACCAGCUGUUUGAACUUAACGUCUGUGUUUUUUCGAAUAAAUGGGAAGAAUUAUACCUACCAUCUAGGGAUAUUGUUAGGCUUAAGUGAGAUAGUAUAAUUAAGGUGCUUCGCAUAAUGCCAGAUGUAUCAUAAGUAUUCAAUAAAAUAUUUUUCUUUUCAUAAUACCACUUAAUGGCUGAAGAGCAUCCUCUGUCAUGGCUGUGCCAAGAUUCAUUUAACCAGUCCCACCCACACUAUUAAACAUUUGGAUCAUUUUUCAAUACUAUCGAUAAGAUAAACAAGAGCAAACAUUUUCUAUACAUUUCUGAUUAUUCCUUUAGGGUUAAAUCCUACAAGUGGUUUGGUGGAUCAAAAAAUAUCAACCUUGUGGAGUUCCUGUCGUGACUCAGCGGUUAACAAAUCUGACUGGGAUCCAUGAGGAUGCAGUUCGAUCUCUGGCCUCGCUCAGUGGAUUAAGGAUCUGGUGAGCUGUGGUGUAGGUCACAGAUGCGGCUCGGAUCCUGAGUUGCUACAGCUGUGGUGUAGGCCAGUGGCUACAGUUCCAAUUUGACCCCUAGCCUGGGAACCUCCAUGUACCACGAGUGUGGCCCUAAAAAGCAAAAAAAAAAAAAAAAAAAAAAAAAAAAAUCUACCUUGUAAACUUGUGACAAAUAUCACCAAGUUAUUGACCAAAAUAUGGUUUUACCAAGUUGAUUUUCUCUAUGUUGAAGAUAUCUAGUCAACUCUUGCAAUUAACAGACAUCAUUUUAAAG
rnacentral:lncRNA from 1 species